rnacentral:rRNA from 1 species
GAUGAACGCUGGCGGUAUGCUUAACACAUGCAAGUCGAACGGACUCUUCGGAGUUAGUUGCGGUCGGGUGGUGAACGCGGGGUAAGCUGCACUUGGGUUCCCGACAACCACUUGAAACGGUGGCUAAUACCGCUUGUGCUGAUAGCGAAAAGAGAAACUGCCUGCAGGUGAGCUCGCGUCUGAUUAGCUAGUUGGUGAGGGAAAGGCUCACCAAGGCAGCGAUUAGUAGCUGGUGUGAGAGGAUGACCAGCCACACUGGGCCAGAGACACGGCCGAGACUCCUGCGGGAGGCAGGAGUGGGGAAUUGUCCGAAAGGGGCGAGCGCCUGACAGAGAAGUACCGCGUGAGAGAAGAAGGCUCUUGGGGUGUAAAGCUCUUUUCUUAGGGAAGAACAAAGUGACGGUAACUGAGGAAUAAGCAUCGGCUAACUACGUG